ACAUAUAUCUAAAUUCCUCCAGCAAUUUGAAAUGCAAUCAGUUUCAAGUCAGCAACUGGCAAAACGGUGAAAACAACGAAACACGAUUUCAACGCCGAUGAAGAGGCAAAAACAGAACAUACUUGACAAAAACCUUAAGAACACAACAAAAACCCACCGAAAUCAGAAAGUCACACCAGUAAAUCGCAGAUCUAAACCAAACCCGACAACAUGCUUUACUCACAAUAACAAUCCCUUAA
rnacentral:sRNA from 1 species